UACAGAGGUCUCGAGCGUUGUUCGGAUUUAUUGGGCGUAAAGGGUGCGUAGGCGGUGUGGCAAGUCAAGUGUGAAAUCUCGGAGCUCAACUUCGAAACUGCACUUGAUACUACUAUGCUAGAGGGUUGUAGAGGAGACCGGAAUUCACGGUGUAGCAGUGAAAUGCGUAGAUAUCGUGAGGAAGACCAGUUGCGAAAGCGGGUCUCUGGGCAAUUCCUGACGCUGAGGCACGAAGGCUAGGGGAGCAAACGGG
rnacentral:rRNA from 1 species